ensembl:lncRNA
UAAAAGUUUCAGUGACUCAUUAAAAAAAAUUCAUCACGAUGGUAGUAAAAUAAUCUACAAUUUACAAAAAAAAGACAAUGAUGGUAAAAUAAGUGAUAGAUAUCCUGAGAAACAUGAUAGUACAAAUGAUAACAACUACAGUAAAAAUCACGAUGAAGGUCACUACGAAAUGCGCAACAGGAAGCAAAAUGGCCAGAACGAAGAGAACGAUUACUUUGCUAACUAUUUUUUGAAUGUUGUUUCGCUUAUUAAAAAACUACAUGAAGAAAAUUUGACUAUCAGUGAACAAAUCGAUAUGACUAUUGUAAAUGAGUUAAAAAAAGAAGAGAGGGAAAGAGUGAAUGAAAUUAAUAGUAUAUAUGUACAAGAAGAUGUAAUAUCUGUACAACCUGUUAUUACUAAAAGCAGUGCCACUAUAGAUGUAUGUAUGAAUAAGAUUGUUCAGAAGAAUAUAAAUGAAUACAUAAGUAGUAACCCCGUUUGUAACAAAAACGACACGAGCAAUAAACACACUGAUAAUAACAUAAGUAAUAUCGACAGUAGUGGUAAUAAUAUACUUCAAUUUACCGACGAAAAUAAAGAAAAGGAAUUACUCAUAGAUGGAAUACCAUUAAAAAAUGUUGAAAUUGAUUUGAAGCGAUGGUUGGAAAAUGAAAAAUUUACCAAUGAAUAUUUAAAUAAUGUAAAUUAUAAAAGGCAUUUCGAAAAUUUAUAUAAACUAAAUAUCAAAUUUGAUAGGGAAAUUAUGUCAAUUAGAGACUUGAUACAAAAAUUUGGAAAAAACGCAAACAAACUACUCAUAAAAAAAUCAAAAGACCGAAUAAAAACUAUCCAAAAAGAGAAAAAAGAAAUAUAUCAAUUUUUAUAUGAUAAUAUAAAAGAAUUAAGAAGUAAUAAAAAAUAUUUGCUUAAUGGAAUUCGAGAUUUAAAAACGUAUGUAGAAGAUGUGAACAAAAAAAUAGAAGUAAUAAAAAAAAAAAGAAGUAGUAUGAGUAGUAAUGACCUGAACAAACUAACCGAACAGAUAACAAAUGACGAAUACAAUAUUAGCGAUGUAAAAAAUAAAAAAAACUUUAUAUGUAUGGACGAUAAUCUUUACUUAGAAAAGUUUGAAAUAAGAGAAAAACAAAGAAUUGAAAAAAUAUAUGAAUGCGUUAGAAAAUUUAUGAAACUUUUUACAAUUCAACAUAUAACUAUAAAUAAUGCAGUAUAUGAUAAAGUUAGUCAAAUUGCUAUUUACGAUUCGCUCAUCCAAUAUCAAUUGUGGUUAAGCAACGUAUUAAACAAACAAAUAGAUAUCCAAAAUUUACAAAAAAAAAUACAAAAAUGUGUUAUAUUAACUGAAGAACAACAAUUAUCUUUAGUUCCACAAAAAUGCAAACAUCACAAAAGUGUAAGCUGUGUUUCAUUAAAAGCAUUGACACAUAAAAAAGUAAAAAAAACAGAAUUAAAAAACCAAAAUUUUCAGAGGGGGGAAUUGAUUUGUAGCGAGCAUGAUAAAUUAAAUAAAAAAAAGAAGAAAAAAAAAUACACUGAAAAAAUUGAAAAAACUAGUACUCAAAAGUAUAAACAAGUUGAUCAAGAUGAGAAAAAAAA